CAAAAGAGGGACUGUCACAUGAAAAUCAGGACAGUUGGGAGGAACAUGUGUUGUGCACGUGUGCCAUGCAACAGAACAGAGGGCGCUCUGUCCCACGGCUAGCGUGUUUAAGGUUGACCAACCUGUAUAACUAGACUACAGCAUCGACAACACCCCUGCCCCUACCCAUAACACCACUGAGAUCACCAGAUCACCAAGAAUCCAAAAGGAAUGUGUGAUCUGAGCUAUAACGACUAGACUGCAGGCAGG